rnacentral:rRNA from 1 species
UGGCAAACGGGUGAGUAACACGUAAACAACCUGCCUUCAGGAUGGGGACAACAGACGGAAACGACUGCUAAUACCGAAUAAGUUCCAAGAGCCGCAUGGCCCAUGGAAGAAAGGUGGCCUCUACCUGUAAGCUAUCGCCUGAAGAGGGGUUUGCGUCUGAUUAGCUGGUUGGAGGGGUAACGGCCCACCAAGGCGACGAUCAGUAGCCGGUCUGAGAGGAUGAACGGCCACACUGGAACUGAGACACGGUCCAGACUCCUACGGGAGGCAGCAGUGGGGAAUCUUCCGCAAUGGGCGAAAGCCUGACGGAGCAGCGCCGCGUGAGUGAUGACGGCCUUCGGGUUGUAAAACUCUGUGAUCCGGGACGAAAAGGCAGAGUGCGAAGAACAAACUGCAUUGACGGUACCGGAAAAGCAAGCCACGGCUAACUACGUGCCAGCAGCCGCGGUAAUACGUAGGUGGCAAGCGUUGUCCGGAAUUAUUGGGCGUAAAGCGCGCGCAGGCGGCUUCCCAAGUCCCUCUUAAAAGUGCGGGGCUUAACCCCGUGAUGGGAAGGAAACUGGGAAGCUGGAGUAUCGGAGAGGAAAGUGGAAUUCCUAGUGUAGCGGUGAAAUGCGUAGAGAUUAGGAAGAACACCGGUGGCGAAGGCGACUUUCUGGACGAAAACUGACGCUGAGGCGCGAAAGCGUGGGGAGCAAACAGGAUUAGAUACCCUGGUAGUCCACGCCGUAAACGAUGGAUACUAGGUGUAGGAGGUAUCGACCCCUCCUGUGCCGGAGUUAACGCAAUAAGUAUCCCGCCUGGGAA